UACGUAGGGUGCAAGCGUUGUCCGGAAUUAUUGGGCGUAAAGAGCUCGUAGGCGGUUUGUCGCGUCGACUGUGAAAACCCGAGGCUUAACCUCGGGCCUGCAGUCGAUACGGGCAGACUAGAGUUCGGUAGGGGAGACUGGAAUUCCUGGUGUAGCGGUGAAAUGCGCAGAUAUCAGGAGGAACACCGGUGGCGAAGGCGGGUCUCUGGGCAGUAACUGACGCUGAGGAGCGAAAGCGUGGGGAGCGAACAGG
rnacentral:rRNA from 1 species